rnacentral:rRNA from 1 species
CGGAGGAAAAGAAACCAACAGGGAUUGCCUUAGUAGCGGCGAGUGAAGCGGCAAAAGCUCAAAUUUGAAAUCUGGCACUUUCAGUGUCCGAGUUGUAAUUUGAAGAAGGUAUCUUUGGGUCUGGCUCUUGUCUAUGUUUCUUGGAACAGAACGUCACAGAGGGUGAGAAUCCCGUGCGAUGAGAUGUCCCAGACCUAUGUAAAGUUCCUUCGAAGAGUCGAGUUGUUUGGGAAUGCAGCUCUAAGUGGGUGGUAAAUUCCAUCUAAAGCUAAAUAUUGGCGAGAGACCGAUAGCGAACAAGUACAGUGAUGGAAAGAUGAAAAGAACUUUGAAAAGAGAGUGAAAAAGUACGUGAAAUUGUUGAAAGGGAAGGGCUUGAGAUCAGACUUGGUAUUUUGUAUGUUACUCUCUCGGGGGUGGCCUCUACAGUUUACCGGGCCAGCAUCAGUUUGGGCGGUAGGACAAUUGCAAAGAAAUGUGGCACUGCCUCGGUAGUGUGUUAUAGUCUUUGUCGAUACUGCCAGCCUAGACUGAGGACUGCGGCUUCGGCCUAGGAUGUUGGCAUAAUGAUCUUAAGUCGCCCGUCUUGAA